rnacentral:rRNA from 1 species
UAUGCAGGACGGUCGCAGAGAUGUGACUUCUCUUCGGAGCCUGGAACACAGGUGCUGCAUGGCUGUCGUCAGCUCGUGUCGUGAGAUGUUGGGUUAAGUCCCGCAACGAGCGCAACCCCCGUCCUUAGUUGCUACCAUUUAGUUGAGCACUCUAAGGAGACUGCCGGUGAUAAGCCGCGAGGAAGGUGGGGAUGACGUCAAGUCCUCAUGGCCCUUACGGGCUGGGCUACACACGUGCUACAAUGGCGGUGACAAUGGGACGCUAAGGGGCAACCCUUCGCAAAUCUCAAAAAGCCGUCUCAGUUCGGAUUGGGCUCUGCAACUCGAGCCCAUGAAGUUGGAAUCGCUAGUAAUCGUGGAUCAGCACGCCACGGUGAAUACGUUCCCGGGCCUUGUACACACCG